AUCGCAACAGGGCAAGCGCAGGAGGCCGGUCAUGUUUUUCGAUAAUGUGGUUUUUGCCGGAGUGCUGACUGUUAGCCUCAUGGUGCUGUUUUUUGUAGGGUUUGGAUUUUUUAUCUGGAAAGACGCGAACAAGCGUAAAAAACCUUAAGUUUUUCCGGGUUACAUGAGCACGCAAGGCAUUUUGGGCGACUUCGGUCGCCCUUUUUUUU
rnacentral:sRNA from 1 species